rnacentral:rRNA from 1 species
AGUGAACGCUGGCGGUAGGCCUAACACAUGCAAGUCGAACGGCAGCACAGGAGAGCUUGCUCUCUAGGUGGCGAGUGGCGGACGGGUGAGGAAUACAUCGGAAUCUGCCCAGUCGUGGGGGAUAACGUAGGGAAACUUACGCUAAUACCGCAUACGACCUUCGGGUGAAAGAGGGGGAUCGCAAGACCUCUCGCGAUUGGAUGAGCCGAUGUCGGAUUAGCUAGUUAGCGGGGUAAUGGCCCACCAAGGCGACGAUCCGUAGCUGGUCUGAGAGGAUGAUCAGCCACACUGGAACUGAGACACGGUCCAGACUCCUACGGGAGGCAGCAGUGGGGGAUAUUGGACAAUGGGCGCAAGCCUGAUCCAGCCAUACCGCGUGGGUGAAGAAGGCCUUCGGGUUGUAAAGCCCUUUUGUUGGGAAAGAAAUCUUUCAGGCUAAUACCCUGGGAGGAUGACGGUACCCAAAGAAUAAGCACCGGCUAACUUCGUG